rnacentral:rRNA from 1 species
UACGUAGGGGGCAAGCGUUGUCCGGAAUCAUUGGGCGUAAAGAGCGUGUAGGCGGCCCGAUAAGUCCGCUGUGAAAGUCCAGGGCUCAACCCUGGAAUGCCGGUGGAUACUGUCGGGCUCGAGUCCGGAAGAGGUGAGUGGAAUUCCUGGUGUAGCGGUGAAAUGCGCAGAUAUCAGGAGGAACACCAAUGGCGAAGGCAGCUCGCUGGGACGGUACUGACGCUGAGACGCGAAAGCGUGGGGAGCAAACAGG